UCCGGUUUGUCACCGGCAGUCCCAUUAGAGUGCCCAACUGAAUGUGGCAACUAAUGGCAAGGGUUGCGCUCGUUGCUGGACUUAACCCAACAUCUCACGACACGAGCUGACGACAGCCAUGCACCACCUGUACGCGACCCUUACGGACCCCCCAUCUCUGGAGGAUUUCCGCGUAUGUCAAGCCUUGGUAAGGUUCUUCGCGUUGCGUCGAAUUAAGCCGCAUGCUCCGCCGCUUGUGCAGGCCCCCGUCAAUUCCUUUGAGUUUUAGCCUUGCGGCCGUACUCCCCAGGCGGAGUGCUUAAUGCGUUAGCUGCGGCACAGAGAGGGUUGAAGACCUCCCCACACCUAGCACUCAACGUUUACGGCUGGGACUAC
rnacentral:misc_RNA from 1 species